UACGGAGGGUGCGAGCGUUGUCCGGAAUCACUGGGCGUAAAGGGCGUGUAGGCGGGAAGGAAAGUCAGAUGUGAAAUCCCUGGGCUCAACCCAGGAACUGCAUUUGAAACUCCCUUUCUUGAGUGUCGGAGAGGAAAGUGGAAUUCCUGGUGUAGAGGUGAAAUUCGUAGAUAUCAGGAGGAACACCGGUGGCGAAGGCGGCUUUCUGGACGACAACUGACGCUGAGACGCGAAAGCGUGGGGAGCAAACAGG
rnacentral:rRNA from 1 species